AUGAACGCUUGCGGCGUGCCUAAUACAUGCAAGUCGAGCGAACGGACGAGAAUCUUGCUUCUCUGAUGUUAGCGGCGGACGGGUGAGUAACACGUGGAUAACCUACCUAUAAGACUGGGAUAACUUCGGGAAACCGUAGCUAAUACCGGAUAAUAUUUUGAACCGCAUGGUUCAAAAGUGAAAGACGGUCUUGCUGUCACUUAUAGAUGGAUCCGCGCUGCAUUAGCUAGUUGGUAAGGUAACGGCUUACCAAGGCAACGAUGCAUAGCCGACCUGAGAGGGUGAUCGCCCACACUGGAACUGAGCCACGGUCCAGACACCUACGGGAGGCAGCAGUAGCGAAUCUUCCGAAAUGGGCGAAAGCCUGACGGAGCAACGCCGCGUGAGUGAUGAAGGUCUUCGGAUCGUAAAACUCUGUUAUUAGGGAAGAACAUAUGUGUAAGUAACUGUGCACAUCUUGACGGUACCCAAUCAGAAAGCCACGGCUAACUACGUG
rnacentral:rRNA from 1 species